GAUGAAGAACGUAGCGAAAUGCGAUACGUAAUGUGAAUUGCAAAUUCAGUGAAUCAUCGAGUCUUUGAACGCACAUUGCGCCCCCUGGUAUUCCGGGGGGCAUGCCUGUCCGAGCGUCAUUGCUGCCCUCAAGCACGGCUUGUGUGUUGUGCCCCGUCCUCCGAUCCCGGGGGACGGGCCCGAAAGGCAGCGGCGGCACCGCGUCCGGUCCUCGAGCGUAUGGGGCUUUGUCACCCGCUCUGUAGGCCCGGCCGGCGCUUGCCGAUCAACCCAAAUUUUUAUCCAGGUUGACCUCGGAUCAGGUAGGGAUACCCGCUGAACUUAAGCAUAUCAAUAAGCGGAGGA
rnacentral:misc_RNA from 1 species